rnacentral:rRNA from 2 species
UGGGGAAUAUUGGGCAAUGGGCGAAAGCCUGACCCAGCGACGCCGCGUGAAGGAAGAAGAUCUUCGGAUUGUAAACUUCUGUCAACAGGGACGAAGAAAGUGACGGUACCUGUGGAGGAAGCCACGGCUAACUACGUGCCAGCAGCCGCGGUAAUACGUAGGUGGCGAGCGUUAUCCGGAUUUACUGGGCGUAAAGGGUGUGUAGGCGGGCAAACAAGUCAGAUGUGAAAUGCUACGGCUCAACUGUGGCACUGCAUUUGAAACUGUAUGUCUUGAGAGUGGGAGAGGUAAGCGGAAUUCCCGGUGUAGCGGUGAAAUGCGUAGAGAUCGGGAGGAACACCAGUGGCGAAGGCGGCUUACUGGACCACAACUGACGCUGAGACACGAAAGCGUGGUGAGCAAACAGG